GGGUUGUGAGGUUAAGCGACUAAGCGUACACGGUGGAUGCCCUGGCAGUCAGAGGCGAUGAAGGACGUGCUAAUCUGCGAUAAGCGUCGGUGAGGUGAUAUGAACCGUUAUAACCGGCGAUUUCCGAAUGGGGAAACCCAGUGUGUUUCGACACACUAUCAUUAACUGAAUCCAUAGGUUAAUGAGGCGAACCGGGGGAACUGAAACAUCUAAGUACCCCGAGGAAAAGAAAUCAACCGAGAUUCCCCCAGUAGCGGCGAGCGAACGGGGAGGAGCCCAGAGCCUGAAUCAGUGUGUGUGUUAGUGGAAGCGUCUGGAAAGGCGUGCGAUACAGGGUGACAGCCCCGUACACAAAAAUGCACAUAUUGUGAGCUCGAUGAGUAGGGCGGGACACGUGGUAUCCUGUCUGAAUAUGGGGGGACCAUCCUCCAAGGCUAAAUACUCCUGACUGACCGAUAGUGAACCAGUACCGUGAGGGAAAGGCGAAAAGAAC
rnacentral:rRNA from 1 species